rnacentral:rRNA from 2 species
UGGGGAAUAUUCCGCAAUGGACGAAAGUCUGACGGAGCAACGCCGCGUGAGUGAUGAAGGUUUUCGGACUGUAAAGCUCUGUUGUUUGGGACGAAAGUGCCUGUUGCGAACAGUUACGGGUAUUGACGGUACUAAACGAGGAAGCCACGGCUAACUACGUGCCAGCAGCCGCGGUAAUACGUAGGUGGCAAGCGUUGUCCGGAAUUAUUGGGCGUAAAGAGCAUGUAGGCGGGAAUCUAAGUCUGUUGUUAGAAUGCGGGGCUCAACCCCGUAUUGCGAUGGAAACUGGGUUUCUUGAGUGCAGGAGAGGAAAGGGGAAUUCCCAGUGUAGCGGUGAAAUGCGUAGAUAUUGGGAGGAACACCAGUGGCGAAGGCGCCUUUCUGGACGAUAACUGACGCUGAGGCGCGAAAGCGUGGGUAGCAAACAGG